UUUUUUUCCGGUCAACGAAAGAAAGGUUAUAGGCCAGAAAAGUAAGAAAUCAAAACAUAUCUUUUGGGUCGGCGAAAGAAAGGUUAUAGGCAAGAAAGUAAGAAAUCAAAAGAUGGACAAGUAAGCACUAUCAUAAAACUUUUACACCUCCGUCAGAUGUAAAACAAAGAAGUCGCUCAGCUCUGUGUCAGAUAUAAAAUAAACUACAACAAAAUCAUCUGUGUACAGGAAAGAAUGUGCCUCGAGACUUAACAGCAUAUCCAUAAAAGGUGUAUACAUCUAAUGUCAAUUAAAAGAAAAAAGAAAACUCAUGUCCCUGAUAAGAUGACGCGAUAAAAAGGAUUCAUGUCAAGGGGGGGAAACAUAUAUUCAUCAAGCUAAACAAUUACAACACCAGCAGCCCCUUCCAAAACUUUGCAUGGCAUGGUCAACACUAUGGG
rnacentral:lncRNA from 1 species